UGGGGAAUUUUGGACAAUGGGCGAAAGCCUGAUCCAGCAAUGCCGCGUGUGUGAAGAAGGCCUUCGGGUUGUAAAGCACUUUUGUCCGGAAAGAAAUCCUUGGCUCUAAUACAGUCGGGGGAUGACGGUACCGGAAGAAUAAGCACCGGCUAACUACGUGCCAGCAGCCGCGGUAAUACGUAGGGUGCAAGCGUUAAUCGGAAUUACUGGGCGUAAAGCGUGCGCAGGCGGUUUGCUAAGACCGAUGUGAAAUCCCCGGGCUCAACCUGGGAACUGCAUUGGUGACUGGCAGGCUAGAGUAUGGCAGAGGGGGGUAGAAUUCCACGUGUAGCAGUGAAAUGCGUAGAGAUGUGGAGGAAUACCGAUGGCGAAGGCAGCCCCCUGGGCCAAAUACUGACGCUCAUGCACGAAAGCGUGGGGAGCAAACAGGAUUAGAUACCCUGGUAGUCCACGCCCUAAACGAUGUCAACUAGUUGUUGGGGACUUCAUUUUCCUUAGUAACGUAGCUAACGCGUGAAGUUGACCGCCUGGGGAGUACGGUCGCAAGAUUAAAACUCAAAUGAAUUGACGGGGUCAUAGCUG
rnacentral:rRNA from 1 species